rnacentral:lncRNA from 1 species
AGGCACCUUGUGUACUUCAUCUAUUGUAGUUGAUGAAUGAAAUAUGUAAUGGUGUAAUUGAGAGAUGAUCAUGUAUGUAUUGGGAGAAUGAAUGUAAAUAAAAUUGUAAGCCUUGUAUUUGAUUUAAAGUGAUCAAGAUACAUUAUAUGGAUGUAAUAGAUAGCUUACUUUCACUUGCUUAGUUGUUGCUUGCCCUCGAGCAUGCCAUAUAUAUUGCAGUUAUUCCUGGGCAAAUGCUUUAUACAUGUUUUGUUGUGGAGCCUUGGGUAGGCAGAAGAGGUUCUGUC